GGCUGGGUAGCUCAGUUGGUAGAGCAGCGGACUGAAAAUCCGCGUGUCGGGGGUUCGAUUCCCUCUCCAGCCA
rnacentral:tRNA from 1 species